rnacentral:rRNA from 1 species
CACGUAGGGGGCAAGCGUUGUCCGGAUUUAUUGGGCGUAAAGAGCUCGUAGGUGGUUCGGUAAGUCGGGUGUGAAACCUCCAGGCUCAACCUGGAGACGCCACCCGAUACUGCUGUGACUGGAGUCCGGUAGGGGAGCGUGGAAUUCCUGGUGUAGCGGUGAAAUGCGCAGAUAUCAGGAGGAACACCCGUGGCGAAGGCGGCUCUCUGGGACGUGACUGACGCUGAGACGCGAAAGCGUGGGGAGCAAACAGG